rnacentral:rRNA from 1 species
GACGAACGCUGGCGGCGUGCCUAAUACAUGCAAGUUGAGCGCUGAAGGUUGGUACUUGUACCAACUGGAUGAGCAGCGAACGGGUGAGUAACGCGUGGGGAAUCUGCCUUUGAGCGGGGGACAACAUUUGGAAACGAAUGCUAAUACCGCAUAAAAACUUUAAACACAAGUUUUAAGUUUGAAAGAUGCAAUUGCAUCACUCAAAGAUGAUCCCGCGUUGUAUUAGCUAGUUGGUGAGGUAAAGGCUCACCAAGGCGAUGAUACAUAGCCGACCUGAGAGGGUGAUCGGCCACAUUGGGACUGGGACACGGCCCAAACUCCUACGGGAGGCAGCAGUAGGGAAUCUUCGGCAAUGGACGAAAGGCUGACCGAGCAACGCCGCGUGAGUGAAGAAGGUUUUCGGAUCGUAAAACUCUGUUGGUAGGGAAGAACGUUGGUGAGAGUGGAAAGCUCAUCAAGUGACGGUAACUACCCAGAAAGGGACGGCUAACUACGUG